AUUGAACGCUGGCGGCAGGCCUAACACAUGCAAGUCGAGCGAGCGGCGGACGGGGGUGUAAUGUAUGGGGACUGCGCGAGAGAGGGGGGUAACACCUGGGAACGCUAGCUAAUACCGCAUACUAUAGGAGUAUCCACAGGGGAUUAGCUAGUAGGUGGGGUAAUGGCUCACCUAGGCGACGCUCCCUAGCUGGUCUGAGAGGAUGAUCAGCCACACUGGGACUGAGACACGGCCCAGACUCCUACGGAGGCAGCAGUGGGGAAUAUUGCACAAUGGGCGCAAGCCUGAUGCAGCCAUGCCGCGUGUAUGAAGAAGGCCUUAGGGUUGUAAAGUACUUUCAGUCGGGAGGCGUUACCCACAGAAGAAGCACCGGCUAACUCCGUGCCAGCAGCCGCGGUAAUAC
rnacentral:rRNA from 1 species